GGGUACGAAAGACUCGCUAAUACCGCAUAUGACGAAAGUUGAAAGGAGUAAUCCGUCUAAAGAUGAGCCCGCGUCCGAUUAGCUAGUUGGUAGAGUAAAAGCCUACCAAGGCGACGAUCGGUAGCUGGUCUGAGAGGAUGAUCAGCCACAAUGGGACUGAGACACGGCCCAUACUCCUACGGGAGGCAGCAGUGGGGAAUUUUACGCAAUGGGCGAAAGCCUGACGUAGCGACACCGCGUGAGCGAAGAAGCCCCUUGGGGUGUAAAGCUCUGUCAGCUGGAACGAAAAAAAUGACGGUACCAGCAGAGGAAGCAUCGGCUAACUACGUG
rnacentral:rRNA from 1 species